UUUCCCCAACCAAAUGAUUUGAAGAAAGAUCAAGCAAAGUUAGAUUAGUUGAGAUUCCAAAAUCUUCUGGUAUGCUCCCUGUAAUAUCGUUACCGGCCAUCUCCAGCCUUUGUAGUUGUGGGCACCUUCCCCAGUUAUGAGAGAGUUCGCCAUGAAACCUGUUGUAGCUCAAAUCGAUGUAUUCCAGGUUUGGACAGUCACCAACUACCUCAGAUAUAUUUCCAGUGAGUUGAUUUCCCCCGAACAGAGCUCUGGUUAAGUUUCUGCAAUUUUUCAUGCUUUUAGGGAUGGGACCACUGAGAAGGUUGUCGCUCACUGUAAAGCGUACCAGAGAUCCACCUUGGCAAAUUCCUUCUGGUAAAGAGCCAGACAGCCGAUUUGUGUCGAUUUCUAGCACAACCAACUUAUGAAGUUUCCCAAUUUCUUUAGGAAAGUAACCAGAAAGAUGGUUAUCACGGAGGAAUAAAAUUUCUAAGUUGGUCAGAUUACCCAGUGAAGUAGGAAUGGAACCAUUGAGUUGGUUUUCUGAAAGUUCUAGAUCAACAAGAGACUUCAAGUUACCUAUUUCUGGAGGAAUGGGACCGGAAAGUUGAUUGGCAUAGAGAUGCAGGAGGGUUAGGCCACUGAGAUCACCCAAGGACGCAGGGAUUGGACCAGAAAGAUUGUUUGCGUAGAGGCUUAUACCUUGCAGAGAUGUCAAAUUUCCUAUUUCUGGUGGGAUAUGCCCGGAGAGUUGAUUGUUGAAUAGGUACAACGUGGUUAAACGUUUCAAGUUUCCGAAAGUGGAAGGGAUGAGACCUGUGAGAUUGUUGGUAUCCGAGUAUAUCUCAACAAGGUUGGCGAGAUUUCCCAUUUCUGGAGGAAUGGAACCGGAAAGUUGAUUUUCAUAGAGAUACAAAGAGGCCAAGUUGCUCAAAUUACCCAAAGAAGCAGGAAUAGAACCCUCCAGUUGGUUGGUGUACAAAGCAAGCUCAUAAAGAGAUGACAACUGACCGAUUUCAUGAGGAAUUGAACCAUUGAGCUGAUUUUGAACCAGGUGCAGGACCUCAAGGUUAGUUAAUAGGCCAAUUUCCGGUGGAAUCCCUCCUGAGAACUGGUUGGUGGACAGAUCAAGGUAUUUGAGCUUGGAGAGGAGACCGAUUUGGGGUGGGAUAGGACCAGAGAGGUUGUUGAUGCAGACAUCAACGUAUGCAAGAUUGGGAAAAGAUGAAAAUGAGAAGGCUUGGAGCGUACCUCUUAAACCGGACUCUGUGAGGUUUAUUCUGAUGACACUCCCUGCAUGGUUGCAGGAUAUCCCAUACCAUUUGCAUGGACCGGUUGCCGUUCCAUGGUGGGUAGAAGAAUUGGUGGAGUUGUUAGGAUCCGGAUAAAGAGUCCACGAAAGGAGGAAAGAAUGGUUAUGGUUGUGAAGGGUAGAUUUCCAUUUGAGGAGAGCUUGUGUUUCUUCAUUAGAAUAAGAAGAAACAUGAUCUGAACAAAUUAACAUAACCAAGAGGAGUAGGGAAACAAGGGAGAGCAUUUUCUGUAAGGUUGAGAACGCCAUGUAUAGUUUUAGUUGAUAAAUUGCAUAUGCUGCUUCACAUCUUCUUUUAUACACAUUUGGUUCCUUUGGUCCUUUUAGGUGACUGUCUUGUUCACGCGUAUUCCCACAGGGAAGAAAGUUGCGUUUUAAUGUCAAGAUCAAGGUCCUUUGAAGCAUGGCUCCUUUUUCUUUCUUUUUUCCAUGGAUUGCACUGUACUAGUAUGGUGGUCUUCCUGUGUGAUUAUGGUGGUUGAAAUCUUCUCUUUUUGCAAAUUUGGAAAUUAAGUUUAGCAGGUGUUGUUGAACAAUAUUUUUAAUUGUUUUUAGUUGAUUUCACUUAUUUUUAAGGGUUGUUUUAAAAAAAAAAAAAUUAUAUAAAUAGGAAGAAUGAUUAAAAAUAAAAUAAUAGAUAUAAAAAUUAUUUUUAAAACAUAUUUAAGAACAUUAAAAAUAAGUUAAAAAUACCAAUUUCUUAAACAAAAUUUUAUUUUACAAAAUAUCAGAGAACAAUUUUAAUUUUUUUUUUCAAAAAUUGUUAUUCAUAAUUGUUUGUAAAAAUAUUCUAUUAAAUAGAGCCUAAUUCUUUUUGGGUCUUUACUUUCAUGUUUAUAAUCAUAAUGGUUUGCCCUUUAUUAACAAACUUGAAGGUUUGUUUUAGUUAAAUAAUUGCAAAAGAAAAUUUUAGUAUGUCAUAUUUAAUCACUUAAGUGGAUUUAUUAAAACUUAGGUGAUGUUUUUAAUAGUAUUUAAUAAUGUUAAGUAUUAAGUUGUUUAUUUUUUUUUAAUAUUUUAUUUCAAUUAAGUAUUAAAAAAUAUAGAAAAAUUAAUAUGUUGCUUUUGAUAUUAAGAAAAAGUCAAAUAUUUUGAUUUUUUUCUAUUUAAUGAAAAAAUUUAAGAAAUAAGUAAUAAGUUAACAAAAAGUGAAAAAAUAAAUAAUUUGAAAUCUAAAAGCAAAUUACUUUAAAAAAAAAAGUUAAAAAAAAUGUCAUCUUAAUAAUUAAUAUUUAGAAAAUUUUAAAGAAAGUGAAAAAGAAAAAAAUGAAGUGAAAAAAAUGGAUUUUAAGUUAAUAAUUUAUUUUUAUAUGGUUUUUAAAACUUAUUUUAAUUAUUUUCUUUUAUAUAUAAAAAUUAAAUUAUUUAAAAACAUUUAAAAAUUUAUAAAUAAUUUUAAUUAUAUUUACUAACUUUUUUUUAUGUAUUUUAAUCAAACAUUAGAAAAUACUUUUUUUAAAUAUCUUUUCGUCUCUCCUUUCUUAGAACUAAAGAUAAGAAUGAUAAUUAAAUAUGAUUUAAAUUUAAAUUAUAUUUAACUUGUUGACUUAACAUUUAUUAUCUAAUUUUUAAUUUUUAAGUAUUAAGAUUAUUUGUUCAUAUUACUUAAUUUUUUAAAAAUUAUUAACCUCAUAUUAUCAAGUAACAAGAUUAUUUGAGAGGUACAAGGAAGAUAAAGGGACAUGGGCUGUUCAGGUAAAAAAAAAAAAAUGAAAUUUAGAAAAAGUUAAUUUUUUUGAGCUGUUAUUCUAAGUUUUUUUUUUUUUUUAGGUUUUAUAGGUUUGAUAGGACUUUAUGAUUGGACUCCAUAAUUUCCCUUUGGUCCUUUUCAUUUUUGAAUUUCACUGAGUUUAGCCCACUCUAUUUAACCCAAUUUUUAAGGCCCAUUGAGUUUAUAUUGAAACCCAGGUCUACUUGAUAAUAUGAGGUUAAUAAUUUUAUACACACUCACUUUGUAAGAUUGAAUCCCAGCCAUUGAUUUUAUAUUGAAACCCUAACCCAGAGGUACUUUUAGAGUCUUUAGUAUGAUAAGAAUAGGAUAUAUAUAAUAUCAUUUGGUAGGAUAUGAUAGAUACUUAUAUUUUAGAAUAUAUUUUUUGAGAAAUAUGAUAUUUUUGAAUAUUAUGUAUUUACUAUAUAUUAUAUUAUAUUUAUAUUAUUUAUAAAAUAAAUAAAUAAAUUAUUUUUUAAAUAAUAGAUACUUAUAUUUUAAAAUAUAUUUUUUGAGAAAUAUGAUAUUUUUAAAUAUUAUCUCUAAAUAGUGUAAAGUAUUAUAUAUAUAUAUAUAUAUAUAUAUAUAUAUAUAUAUAUAUAUAUAUUUAUAAAAUGAAUUAUUUAAUUAAUUAAAAAUUAAUUUUUAAUUAUUUAAUAUUUAUUUAAAAUAAAUAUCAUAUUGAUCCAAGUGAAGCUCAUCCCUUGAAUAGUAAUUCCAAAAGUGCUACAGUCAGCAAGAAAUUGCAUGAUAUGCUCUUGCUUUGCUUCUCCUGUAGCUUUAGCCUUUUCACAGAUCAUCUGUCUAAGGUUUUCAAGAAGGUCCAAAUUUUUCAGCUUGAAAAAUGAAAAUCUGGAAAUUUGACAUUCUUGGCUUUCUUGAGAAAGUUUUGAAUCUUCAUUUGGUUUUGAAAGUUCUUUUUGAAAUUCAUUUUGAAAAUCUUUUGAAAAUGCAUCUUUGGAUCCUUUUGCUUUUUUCCUGCAAAUGAAAUUUUCAAGAUCUGUAUCCAUUGGUGUGCAAUGUAUAUCAGAACUUGAAGGGUUAGAAAAACUUUCUAAUUUAUCAUUUAACUGUUUAAAAUGGAAAGAUAAUGCAUUUAAAGCUUCCAACUUUUGAAUAUCACUUUUUGCAUUCCAGAGGUUGUCUAAAAUGCAUUUUUGUGAUCUGUCUAAACCUUCAAUAUCUUUAUGAAUUCGAAAUGACAUAUUACAUUUAGGGAAUACUGGAAGAGUAAAUUUCCCAAAUGUAAUUCUUUCUUGCUCCAUCUGUAAACAAAAUUCAAAUAUUAGUAUCUCUAUUGAAGAAUAAAACAAAUAUCUAAUGAUUUUGUCUUUAUCAUACCAAAUUUGAAAAUAUAUUGAGUUUAUGAGAGGAACAUAAUUUCUAAUAAUGAUGUUAAAAUGAGGUUUUGAAUAUUUUGAAAUCACAUUUAUUGACUUAUAUGAGCAUGCACAAAUACCAUCACAAUCUUUUUGAUUAUCUGAUUCUUCUUCUAGACUUGACUCGUCACUUGAUAUUUCUUGAGUUAUAAGGAUUUGAUUAUCUUCUUCUGAUUCAUAAUUUUCACUUGAUUCAUCAUUUUCUUUAUCAAUCAUUAAUCCUAUCAUUAGAUUUUUGAGUUUAUCACUUAUUUCUAAUGAAUUGAUUUUAUUUUCUAAUUGACAAUCUCUUGAAUAAUGACCUACUUUUCCACAUUUAUAACAAGUAGGUGUUUUCUUUUUUAAAUCUGAGGAUUGUUUUUAUCAGUGUUAUGAGUGAUUUCAACUGAAUCGGUGUCUACCAGGAUGAACUCAUAGAAUUGACGAGUUUUCAAAGGAUCAUUUGAAUUAAAGUUGACUCCUUGAGGAAAGAUGUAAGGAAGAAUUUUAGGAAUCUCUUCAAAAUUGAACUCUGGCUCAAUGAAAGCAAUUUCUAAUGUUUUGGGUUUUUUGACAUAUUGACUAUAGGAAUAUGAAGGAGAAGGAAACUGAGAAGGAGAAGGUAAUGUUGAAAUAGUGUUGGGGCUUGAUUUACUCUGAACAACAAUAUUUUUAGGGGAUGAUUUAGAAGCUUGAAUAAAACUUUUUGAAGGUUGAAGAGGAGGAAAAUCUGGACUCAAAACUUGAAAAGAAUUUGAUGUCUGCAAAGGAAAAGUAGGACGAACAUUUGAAAAGUUUGAAAUCAUAGCAUAUGAUGCUUUGGUUUUCUUGGAUGAUGAAGGAAGUUGAGGCCUAACGGGAGUACCCAUUAGGAUGGAGAAGGAUCCUUACCCUGCAAAAACUCCCGAGUAAGGAAGUCAGGAAGGGAAUUCAACUCUCCUUUGAUAAAUUCGAUUUCAAAAUCAAAGUUUGAAAGUAAAGCUUGCCAUCUUGCAAAAAUUUGUUUUGAAACCAAAUUUUUAACAUCUUUUUGUAAAAUAUCUUUUGCAGCUUUGCAAUCGAUUUUCAAAAGAAAUUUCUUGUUUAUCAAAUCACUUUGAAAUUUUGAAAUACACAAAACUAUUGAUAAAACUUCUUUUUUGACAGUUGAAUAAUUUAUUUGAGCGCCCAACCAGAUCCCUGAAUGAUAUCUAACUAUAUGCACUUGAUUGUUAUAUUCUUGCUUUAAUAUGCCUCCAUAACCUAAAUUAGAUGCAUCUGAUUCUACAAUGAGUAAUGCAUUUGGAUGAGGAAUGCUGAUGCAUGGUAAUCUUUUGACUCUUUGUUUAAUUUCUUUAACCAGACUGGUAUGAUGCUCAUUCCAUGCAGGUGCAUUUUUUGUAAGUCUUUUGUAUAAUGGUUCACAAAUGAUUCUCAAAUCUUUGAAGUAAUCAGAAACAUAAUUUAAACAUCCUAGAAAUCUUUGCAAUUGUUUUUUAUCUUUUAUUUCAUCAGGAAAUUUGUCAGCGAAUUCUAUUGAUCUUUGAAUCGGUUUUGUUUUUCCUUGAAAAAUUUCAUGACCUAAAAAUCUGAUUUUUGUUUGAAACAAUUUCAUUUUUGGAGCAGAACAAGCCAUUCCAUUUGCUUUAAUGACAUUAAAAAACUUUUUCAAAUGAAUAAAAUGUUUUUCUAAUGAAUCAGAAAAUACUAAAACAUCGUCAAUAUAUACAAUGAUGAACUGAAAAUGAGGAUUAAAAAUAUCAUUCAUAAUAUUUUGAAAUUCAGAAGGGGCAUUUUUGAGACCAAAAGGCAUGACAUUCCAUUCAUAAUGACCAAAAGGGACAGUAAAAGCAGUUUUGUACCUAUCUUCUUCUUUAAUUUGAACUUGCCAAAAUCCUGAUUUCAUAUCAAAUUUUGAAUAAAUGACAGAACUAUGAAGUCUUUUAAGUAAAUCUUGCUUAUUAGGAAUAGGGUAUCUUAUCCAUUGUAAUACUUUAAUUAAAGGUUUAUAAUUAAUGACUAAUCUAGGUGCUCCUCUUUCUAUCUCAGCAGCAUUUUGAACAUAAAAAGCAGCACAACUCCAAGGAGAUUUUGAGGGUCUAAUUAAUUUCUUCUUUAAUAAUGAAUCAAUUUCUUGUUUGCAAUAUUUCAAAAGUUUUUCAUUCAUUUGAAUCGGCCUAGCCUUAGUAGGAAUUUUGGACUCAUCAAAAUUUUGAAUGUAAGGCAAACUUAUCUCAUGUUUCUUUCUUGACCAAAAAGCAUUAGGAAGAUCAGAACAAAUUUCAUUUUGAAAAAGAUCUUGAAUCUCUUUAAUUUUCUUUUGAACUUUAUCUUCUAAGAGUUGUUCAUCUACCUUUUUAUAUUGAAUUUCUUUUGAUAGAUAAUUUAUAUGAGCUUUCUUUCUUUGAAUUAAAUUUAUGUUCUUAUUUAUUGAAUCACUUUGAACUUGAUGUAUUUCUUUUUUAGUUAAUGGAUAUAUAAAGGGAAAAAAUAUGGUAUUUCCUAAUAUUGUAGUUUUGACACCUUCAUCAUUUACUUGAAAAGGGUAAAGUAAGGUAAUAAAAGGAGUUCCUAAUAUUAGAGGUUCAUUCAUAUUUUGUACUAAUAUAAAUUGAGUUCUAAAACAAUAAUUAUCUUGACAUAUAUGAACAUUUUGAAGUUUAUAUUUUAUUUCUAAUUUUCCUUUAUUUGCAGCAAAAAGUUCUUGUCCUGUUUUUUCAUAAUAUUUAGUAGGAAUUAUUCCUUCUUGAAUACAAUUCAUAUCAGCUCCCGAGUCUAUUAAUGCUACUAUUUCUAUUUCAAAAUCUUCAACUAUAAUUUUUAUAUUUGUAUACCAUCUUUGAAAAUAUAUUUUUGAUAUUGUAUUUAUAAAUGAUUCUAUAGGAGUUAUUUUAUUAGGUAUUAUUAUUCCUGGUUCUUGNNNNNNNNNNNNNNNNNNNNNNNNNNNNNNNNNNNNNNNNNNNNNNNNNNNUAUUUGAAAAACCAAAGGAAAAAAGGAAUAGUCAUCUUAACUUGUUGCAUAUAUUUUUCAUAUUGUUUUCUUAAUGCAUUUCUAACUUGAGGAGGAAGUUGUUGAAAAUAAUUUCUUUUUGCCGUAUUUUCAGGAGAAAAAUAAUUUGCUUUAAUUAAUUCUACUUCAGGAACAAAAUGAUUUCUUUUAAUGUAUUUUUUCUAAUGAUAUUUAUGUUUAAAGGAGGUUUAUCUUGAAAGAAAAUUUUUGACUCAGACUCUUCUUCAAAAAGAGAAAUUUCAGGAACAAAGUUUGAACUAUUUUUUAGUUGAUUUUCUAUUUGAUUUAAUUCUUCAUUAAAUUUUGAAUUAUUAAAUUUUAUAUGAUGACUCCAUGAUGAUGCAGCUACUGAUGCAGAUGAUGAUGCAGUAGAUGCAUUGAAAAUCUCAUUAUCUUAUAUGAAGAACUUUCUAAAUUAUAUGCAGAAUUAUUUAAUGCAGAUGCAGAACUUUCAUGGGACCUAAGAGAUCUGGAAGAACUAUUUCUACUUAAUUCCCUAAUAAUAUUACUCAUUGUCACAGAAAAUAAUCACAAUUUUAUCCUUAAUCAAUUCAGAUAAUUUCCUGAACAGGGACCACCACAAGCGGAUCAACACGGGACUUACGCUCCUUCUGCCCUUAAACACCGCUUAUCACAGGCUGACCAAACCGUUCACAGGAAAUUCAACCCGAACUAAGUCAGGACUAAAUCUGCGAUUAAUCACUGUUCCAACUCGUAACAUCACUCGGUUCUCAAGCAGAAAAUGGCUCUGAUACCAUUUGCACCCAGGACAUACAACAGUUCGUGCAUGCAAUAAUUAAGUAAUAAUUAAGCAAUAAUUAGCAAUAAUUAAAUCUGUCUAAUUAUCUCCAAGCAUAAAAACUGAAAUAUUUAAUGUCUAAUACUGUCUAAUUUAUUGCAGAAAUUUAAGCAUAAUAAAACAAAUAUUUGAAUCUGAAAAUAUUGUUUAUUGAAAAUAUACCUUGAUUACAGAGAGCUGAUGACUACAGGUUGUUGACAGCAGAGGAAUGACUCUAAUUCAAAAAGAAAAUUACAAAAGAAAAUUUUUGAACUCUCAGAAAUUUUUUGAAACUAUCUCUUGGCUGUUGGAACUCUCCCAACUCUUGGAACUCUUGAACCCUUGCCGACCUCUCACCCUAGCCGACCUCUGCCUGAUGAAGAAGGUUGAAGCUCCUUAUAUAGGUGAGGAUUCGGACUUUAGAUGAAUCUUCAAUCUUGAAAGUUUUGGAAUUUCAUCACAUGUAGGCCAGGUGGAGCAUUCUGCAGAAGAAAGAGUGAGGGAAGAUUUCAAAAUAUUCAAAACCUCAUUUUAACAUCAUUAUUAGAAAUUAUGUUCCUCUCAUAAACUCAAUAUAUUUUCAAAUUUGGUAUGAUAAAGACAAAAUCAUUAGAUAUUUGUUUUAUUCUUCAAUAGAGAUACUAAUAUUUGAAUUUUGUUUACAGAUGGAGCAAGAAAGAAUUACAUUUGGGAAAUUUACUCUUCCAGUAUUCCCUAAAUGUAAUAUGUCAUUUCGAAUUCAUAAAGAUAUUGAAGGUUUAGACAGAUCACAAAAAUGCAUUUUAGACAACCUCUGGAAUGCAAAAAGUGAUAUUCAAAAGUUGGAAGCUUUAAAUGCAUUAUCUUUCCAUUUUAAACAGUUAAAUGAUAAAUUAGAAAGUUUUUCUAACCCUUCAAGUUCUGAUAUACAUUGCACACCAAUGGAUACAGAUCUUGAAAAUUUCAUUUGCAGGAAAAAAGCAAAAGGAUCCAAAGAUGCAUUUUCAAAAGAUUUUCAAAAUGAAUUUCAAAAAGAACUUUCAAAACCAAAUGAAGAUUCAAAACUUUCUCAAGAAAGCCAAGAAUGUCAAAUUUCCAGAUUUUCAUUUUUCAAGCUGAAAAAUUUGGACCUUCUUGAAAACCUUAGACAGAUGAUCUGUGAAAAGGCUAAAGCUACAGGAGAAGCAAAGCAAGAGCAUAUCAUGCAAUUUCUUGCUGACUGUAGCACUUUUGGAAUUUCUAUUCAAGGGAUGAGCUUCACUUGGAUUUCUUGUUAUGACAAUACUUAUAAUAAUUGUCCAAAGACCGAUCCCUUGUGUAGAGAAAUUCCAUUAGAAAGGCAUGACUGUAAGUGUGCUCUUACUUACAGUAUAUGCAAAGCCAACAUUAACCUAGACAGUUAUAAACCAAUAGUCAGUCAAUAGAGUUAACUCCAUCCCUCCUCAUGGACUAUGGAGUUCUUUAUCAAUUGAUUUUCUCUCAUCCUGAUCAAACUGAUAAAUUUGGAAGAAAAUUAGUUGUUUGUGUUUUAAAUGCAUUCAUCAAUGAUUUCAAAUCUGUCGAACUCAUCAUAGAAAGUAAACCUCCUGAAUGGUCGAAUGAUGGAGGAGUCUACCCUGCUCAACAUCUCAUUUUACUCAAAGCCAAUCAGAGAAAACAUCAGCUGUUUGGUACAGAGGACCCUUGGCCCUGUACUAAAUCCAGUCUCAAAAAACAAAUCAGACAUUGGAGAUCAAGAAUGAUUGCAAGAGACCUUGAUUCCGAGAUUUAUAGUUCUUCUAACUAUAAUCUCAUUGCUGAAGAUAAUAUUCAAAAAAUCAUCUUUGCAAAUAACUUUUAUGAAGUCCCUCUUUUGUUUCAAACUCAAUUUACUUAUCUUGUUGAUAAGUAUAAAAGAGAAUAUGUCCUUGAAGAAGAAGCCAGAAAAACUUUUGAGAAAUAUCUCUUAGAAAUGCUCAGCUAAGAGAUAUCAAGAAUCAAGAAUCUUUUGUACAUCUGUAAAGUAGCUCUCUUAUGAUUAUCCAGUAAAAAAAAAAAAAAAAAAAAAAAAAAAAAGAACAGUAUAUGAAGUCUGAAGAAGUGCACAGUGCACAGUUUGUAAGUAAAAAAAAAAAGUGAAUAGUGUUUUGUGAAUAGUAAAUCCGUCCUUUAAAGUAAAAAGCAAGAUGACUCAUUACCCAUGUGACCAAAUGAAGAAGAAGAAAGCAAAUUUACCUCCUGCAUACACGUGGAAGACAUCAAAGGCAUAAUGCCUUCUUGAAAGCCCGAAGCCUUUGCUAUAAAUAGGGCUCAAAGGCUUCCUCCCAAGGCAGAGGUCGGCAAGGGUUCAAGAGCUUGGUAGAGAGUUCCAAGAGAGAUAGUUUCAAGAGUGAAAAAAUUUGAGAGUUCAAAAUUUCUGAGAGUUCAAAAAUAUUUUCUUGUAAUUUUCUUUUUGAGUUAGAGUCAUUCCUCUGCUGUCAACAACCUGUAGUCAUCAACUCUCUGUAUUGAGGUAUAUUUUCAAUAAACAAUAUUUUAUUCAAAUAUUUGUGUUAUUAUGCUUAAAUUUCUGCAAUAAAUUAGACAGUAUUAGACAUUAAAUAUUUCUGUUUUUAUGCUUGGAGAUAAUUAGACAGAUUUAAUUAUUGCUAAUUAUUGCUUAAUUAUUACUUAAUUAUUGCGUGCAUGAACUGUUGUAUGUCCUGGGUGCAAAUGGUAUCAGAGCCAUUUUCUGUUUGAGAACCGAGUGGUGUUACGAGUUGGAACAGUGAUUAAUCGCACAUUUAGUCCUGACUUAGUUCGGGUUGAAUUUCCUAUGAACGGUUUGGUCAGCCUGUGAUAAGCGGUGUUUAAGGGCAGAAGGAGCGUAAGUCCCGUGUUGAUCCGCUUGUGGUGGUCCCUGUUCAGGAAAUUAUCUGAAUUGAUUAAGGAUAAAAUUGUGAUUAUUUUCUGUGACAAUGAGUAAUAUUAUUAGGGAAUUAAGUAGAAAUAGUUCUUCCAGAUCUCUUAGGUCCCAUGAAAGUUCUGCAUCUGCAUUAAAUAAUUCUGCAUAUAAUUUAAAAAGUUCUUCAUAUAAGAUAAUGAGAUUUUCAAUGCAUCUACUGCAUCAUCAUCUGCAUCAGUAGCUGCAUCAUCAUGGAGUCAUCAUAUAAAAUUUAAUAAUUCAAAAUUUAAUGAAGAAUUAAAUCAAAUAGAAAAUCAACUAAAAAAUAGUUCAAACUUUGUUCCUGAAAUUUCUCUUUUUGAAGAAGAGUCUGAGUCAAAAAUUUUCUUUCAAGAUAAACCUCCUUUAAACAUAAAUAUCAUUAGAAAAAAAUACAUUAAAAGAAAUCAUUUUGUUCCUGAAGUAGAAUUAAUUAAAGCAAAUUAUUUUUCUCCUGAAAAUACGGCAAAAAGAAAUUAUUUUCAACAACUUCCUCCUCAAGUUAGAAAUGCAUUAAGAAAACAAUAUGAAAAAUAUAUGCAACAAGUUAAGAUGACUAUUCCUUUUUUCCUUUGGUUUUUCAAAUAUAGGAAACCCCUUAAAAGAAUUGCAACAUUAACUUCAAGAAAAGCAAUAGAAAAUUCUCCACAUAAUAAAAAAGAGUCAAGUAAAGAAUCAAAAGAAGAAUUAAGUGAAACAAAAUUUAAUAAAAUUUUGUUUUCUUCUGCCCCGGGUGAGGUGGAGGAAACAGAAACAAAAACAAAAACAUCAACAGAAACAUCAAAACCAACAAAGAUAGAAAAUCCAAAAGAAAUCAAAAAGAUAAAUGUAAUAUCGUCAAAAGUAGAUAAGCAAAUAUUUUUUGAUGUUGUAGACAAAAUUCAAGAUAAAGAAAUACAAAGAAAUUAUUUACAAAAUUUAAAAAAUUUAAUUCUCACUGAAAAUCCAAAUAAAACUCAAGACAUCAAACCUAAUCAAUACUCAAUGGAUGAAAUUUAUAAUAGAUUCAAAAAGACUCAAAGGCCAAUAACUAUUAAAGACUUGGAAGAAGAAAUAAAAGAAAUAAAAAGUCAAAUAAAUCAAUUAAAAUUAGAUAAUGAACAAAUAAAAUUAGAAAAUGAAAUAAUAAAACAAGAAAAUGAUCAAAUAAAACAAGAGAAUGAACAAAUUAGAAACGUAAUACAAUAUAAACAAGAUUUAGCCGAAACUUCUGAAAACCAAGAACCAGGAAUAAUAAUACCUAAUAAAAUAACUCCUAUAGAAUCAUUUAUAAAUACAAUAUCAAAAAUAUAUUUUCAAAGAUGGUAUACAAAUAUAAAAAUUAUAGUUGAAGAUUUUGAAAUAGAAAUAGUAGCAUUAAUAGACUCAGGAGCUGAUAUGAAUUGUAUUCAAGAAGGAAUAAUUCCUACUAAAUAUUAUGAAAAAACAGGACAAGAACUUUUUGCUGCAAAUAAAGGAAAAUUAGAAAUAAAAUAUAAACUUCAAAAUGUUCAUAUAUGUCAAGAUAAUUAUUGUUUUAGAACUCAAUUUAUAUUAGUACAAAAUAUGAAUGAACCUCUAAUAUUAGGAACUCCUUUUAUUACCUUACUUUACCCUUUUCAAGUAAAUGAUGAAGGUGUCAAAACUACAAUAUUAGGAAAUACCAUAUUUUUUCCCUUUAUAUAUCCAUUAACUAAAAAAGAAAUACAUCAAGUUCAAAGUGAUUCAAUAAAUAAGAACAUAAAUUUAAUUCAAAGAAAGAAAGCUCAUAUAAAUUAUCUAUCAAAAGAAAUUCAAUAUAAAACUUGUUCUACAAUUUAUAAUUUAAUAGUAAAUUUUAAUUUUAUAAUUAAACUAUUUAAGAAUAAUAAAUAAAAAUAUUAUAUCAUACAAUUAAAUAUACUAAGCAAUUUGUAUUUUACUAUAUAUUUUAUACUUAUUUUUCAGUCAAAUAAAUAAUACUGAAAUUAUUGUUAAUGGCAUUAAAUACAAAUUUAAUGGGAAACAGGAUCUCAUGCUUGUUAGGUUAUCCAUGGGGAAUAAAACAGCCUAAGGUCGAUCCUAAAAAUCCUAAACUUAGAACUUAGUUUAGGGAGAAUUUUGUUUUGAGCCUAGUUGGGCCAAAAAAAUUGACUAAAGAUCCAUAUAUCAUGCACAUUUAAACCCAAGACACCAAAUAAAGUGUAAAAAUUAAGUUUAUGGAUAUUAUCCUUCAUUAAUCUUUAAAAUAGCUUUAACCCCUAUAUAGACACAUAGUGAGUGUAAAUUUCAAAUUUUUUUUUUUUUUUGUGUUGUUUUCCCUUUUCUAUUCCCAAUUAAAUAUUACUCAUUUCUAACUUUUUUAUUUUUCUUUUUUAAAGAUAUUGAAUCUUUUUACUCUUAUUAUAAGUAAGAAUAAAAAAAUUUCAUAUAAAAUUUAAUGGAUAAUCAAUGAAUGAAAUUUAAUUCUUUUUAUUAUUUUUAUAUAAAAAUAGUAUUAAACAAGGUUUUCAAUUUUUAUUUUUAAAAAUAGUUUUCAUUUUUUAAUUAAAUGUUUUUUCAAAAAGAAAAUAUAAAAAAUAUAAAUCAUAUUACCAUUUUUUUAGAAAGUAUUUUUAAAAAUAGUUUUUGAAAGUAAUUUUUCUUUAUUUAUAAUUUAAAAUAGAAAAUAAAGCUAAUUUUCAAUUAUUUAUAAAAAAAAAGUUUUAAAAAACAAUGAAAAAUCCAAAUGGUUAAAAUAGAAUUAUUAUGGUUGAAUGAAUAGUGGUGCAAUAAAAACCAAAAAAUCUUAUGUGAAAGGUCAAUGAGUAUUUUGAUCUUUUGAUAUCAUAUAUCAUUUCUAUCAAUUAUGUAAGUUAUAUGAACCAAAUCUUAAUUUUUGGACAUAGUUGGACCUAAAACACAAUUGUCCCCUUAGUUAAUGUGCAUAGACCUGUUAUUGUCUCAAGGUGGGUAGAAGAAUUGGUGACAUUAUUUGGAAGAAUGAUCAAUAAAGACGAAGAUGACUUUGUUUUCUUUGGUUGACUUUGAAACAUUGGAGUAGAAUUUGUGUCUUUCUUAGAAUGAGAGAUGACAUGGUUAAAAUAACAGUACAUAGUUAGCAAGAUCAAGGAAACAAAGUUUAAGUUGGUGACUCCAUGGUUUCAGUUGAUGUGUGGCAAAUAAUGGGUCAAUUGUCCAUUUGUAAACAUAUGAGUUCACCAAACCUUGGACUUGGAAACUCUCCAACUAUCUCAUUACUGGAAGGAAGACGACGACUAGAGUUCUCUAUAUGUAGCUUUGUUAAGUUUGAUUCAUUCUUAUGGUCAAAGUCUAUGUCGCUUUACCUCAUUGGAAAAAAAAGAAAAAAAAAACAAAUCCUUGAAGAAUUGUUUGUCUAGAAUGAUUUGAACGUUUGUUGAGUGGUCUUGUCAUUGGAAGAUUAUUAGGGAAUGAAAAUGACUACCGUUUUUAUUUUUAUUUUUUAUUUUCAUUUUUAUAUAUAGCCUUCUUGAGUUUGAUUCACUCUUAAGGUCAAGGUCUUUCAAUUGAUUGUGUCUUGUGUGAUUUGAAUGCAUGUUAACUCUAGUGGUUGGGUGACAACUCCGAUCGCCUAUUCUUUAUUUCAUUUGGAAAAAAAUUGCAUUCAACAGUUUGAAUGCCUGUUGAGUCAAGUGGUUGCCUAGCAACUUGUACAGUGUAUAUUAUUUUACAUUCUAUCAACUCUAGGUUUUUUAAGACAACCAUCCAUCCAUUCUAGGUUCAAACUUCAAAGAAGCCUUUACAGCUUUAAGACAAUCACCCGAGAAUAUGAAACCAAAUAGAUAAAUACCUUUCAUGAUUAUGGACCAAAGCUACAUUAGGGUUAGGGAUUGACUUUAUACCAUUUAUAACAAUCCGUUUCUAAUAGUGUGUAUAUUAUUCGUUCUGGACCCAAAAAGAUCCUUACGGUUUUGAAAUGCGUUCAUAUAAUUAAGAGGAACUCAUAUUUAUUCAACGUUGAAACUUUCUUUGUUCUCAUAUGUGAGAUAUCUCAAUUGUUACGAGACAGGGACAAACAUGGUUUUGAGGGUUAGUCUUGUAAUCAUCUUUAUGUUACAGAUCCUAUAUUCCUAUUUACAUUUAAUUUUUUGUAGACCUGAUCCAUGAGAACGGAGACUUGGAGAAGUCUUCCACUCCCUUUGAAAGGGCUAUUAUUAGGUAAAACAAUGGUAAGACUUUUUGUCUGUGAAGACUUGACUUGGGCUUGUUCCAGACUGGUGAAGGCACUUUCCCCUACUUCACUUUGGAAAAAAUGCACUUUUGGGUUUUGAGUUGACUGCAUUGACUUGAUACAAGUUUACAAUAAUGGCCGAGCUGAUCAAACUUACAAUUAUUAUGCAGUUUUGUUGUUGCCAAAACUUGUUACAUAUACUGGGGAUGAAGAUAACUUGUAAUCCUUUUGUUUUAUGAUAUCAGAAGUUUUUGUUUAGGCCCUUGAUAUCCAUCUUAGGCUUAAUUUUGGUGCUAUGUAUUCUUGAAAACGAAGCUGAUUGUGACUACCAUAUAUUUAGUGGAUGGCCUUGUUUUUGUUGCAUGUAUCAGUUUUGGUGAAAAUUUUGGACUCUCACUUGUAGAAUUAGAAAGGAAGCUUCGGGGAUUUGACAUUUCUUUUCUCUGGUUUGAUCAAUCCAUUUGAGCUCACCAAAUUUGACCCUUUUUAAUGGGUCACACCUCAGCUCUUCAUAAGUUUAUGGUAGGCCAAGAUUUGCCUUGGUUCCCUUUACUUUCGAGUAUAUAUGUAGCCUUUUUUUUUUUAGUAUGAAAAUCACAAUAGCUUCAUAAUAAAGCUAACUAGGGUAAAGUUUUUACCUUAAAAUAAAUAAAAAAUUGUUCUCAUUAGCAGUUUUUUGCAGGACAAGAAAAAUAUCGAAGAAAACAGGUGUUAUACGAGAAAACGGAAACUUGAACAUGAAUAAACCAUUAAUCUCAUUGUUUAACAAUGCUAUAUUUAGAACAUCAAAUCUUUGAUGUUCAAGCCUUCAAUCCUCUUAUCCUUGCACAUUGUCAGCCGGUACCCGAGGUGCAAUUUUCUAUUCACCCACAAAAAGUCUUUUUGAUAUUUUUACAACUUUAUCAAUUACUCGAACGAAAUUUAGUUAUGGAAAAGAACUGGGACUUUUGAAGAUGCAUUACAUUGUGUUGAAGAUGCAGGAGGUUCGAAACCAUGCAUUAUUGGUAGACUAGGUAGAGUUCCACUCAAAUUAUUUCUUACCUUGCUAAAUUCUCUGUGACAACAUCUGAGAAAUAAUCUCCAUGGUUGGCCUGGAUUGUGGAUUGGCAUUUAAACAUGCAGUUGCGAGCUUUAUGAUAGCUACCACUUCCCCUUCGUCUUGGGGUGUGAGAGGUGGGAGUCGCGGGUCCAACAUGUCUUUCAACACUAUGUUCUUCUCUGGGGAAACUGAUAUAGACAAGAUUUGAUCUCCAGGAUGUCUUCCUUUGAUAACUUCCAGUGCUAUCACUCCAAAGCUAUAGACAUCGGUUUUUUCUGUGACCUUCAUUGUAUAAGCAUGCUCUGCAAAAUUAGAAGAUAAAUAUUACAUCGUGAGCAUGUUAGAUUUCUUUGUUAGUUGAGGAGUGAAGUGUACCUGGUGCAACGUAUCCGACUGUGCCUGCAAGUUUGCUCUGAUUUGAUGAGUCUACCUUAAGAAGCUUGGCAGUGCCCAAGUUAGAAAUAUGAGCCUCAUAUUGAGAAUCCAGCAGAAUAUUGUUGCUCGAUAUAUCCCGAUGAACAAUCGGGGGUGAGCAAUCAUGGUGCAUGUAAGACAAAGCGUGAGCCACUCCUUUGAUGAUCUUGACCCUUGUAGCCCAACCCAAUUUUUUAGCUUCUUCUCUGCUCAAGAUUGUAGCCAAGCUACCUCUUUCAAGGUACUCAUAGACCAAAAAGGAGUGUCGUGGAUAUGAACAGAAACCAAGAAGUCUCACAAUGUUUCGAUGCUUGAUCUCUGUCAUUGCCCUUACUUUAUUCAAGAAAUCCUUUUGAUUUGCCAUAUCCAUGUCGGAUGGGUGAAGCUUCUUCACAGCUACUAUAUUACCUGAUGGCAGCUCUGCUUUGUAAACGCUUCCAUGCCCUCCCUUUCCGAUGCAAUACAUGGGAUCAAAGUCCUUGGUGGCCUUUAUAAUCUCUUCAUACAUUGCUCUUCCAUCAAAAGUUGAUAUUGAGAGGAGAUUAUUCUGUACAUCACCUUCUUCGAUUUCUGGAGUUCUCUCUCUUCUUUCAGCAAUCAAGAAAAUCCCAAUGAAAGCAGAAAGAAGUACAAGUGCUCCCAAAAGAGGGAAUAUGAUAAUAAACACAACUUUGUGGCUCUUUUUGACAGGUUGUUGGUCUACUCCAAAACCAUAUUUGCAAGGUUGCAACCCUUUAACAUUGCCGCACAAAUCUUUGUUCCCCUUUAGCACCUCAAUGGUAGCAUUUCGAAAUGCAUUGCUGUGAGGAAUGGGACCCUGCAACUGAUUGUAGGAAAUGUCAACAUACGACAAGGCAGGCAUGUCCUCAAAAGCCUUUGGGAUGAAACCACAAAGGUUGUUAUGGGAGAGAUCAAGCAUCUCCAAACUCUCCAAACCUUGGAUCUGUGCCGGGAUGCCACCUGUAAGCAAGUUGUGACUCAGAUCUAGCUGGGAGAGGUGACUCAGCUUACCCAUCUGAACCGGAAUUCCGUGGCUGAGUUUGUUAUUGCUCAGGUUCAAGUAAUGCAAGUCCAAGCAGUCGCCCAAGUGCUCUGGUAUUGACCCAUUCAAUCUAUUGGCUGAAAGGUCUAGAUACUCAAGGUGGGACAGCGAUCCAAGUUCAGGAGGAAUACUCCCGGAAAGUUGGUUGUCAUUCAAUAUCAGCCCCAACAGAGAAGUCAAACUUCCCAUUUUCUUUGGAAUUUCCCCAACCAAAUGAUUUGAAGAAAGAUCAAGCAAGAUUAGAUUAGUUGAGAUUCCAAAAUCUUCUGGUAUGCUCCCUGUAAUAUUGUUCCCGGCAAUCUCCAGCCUUUGUAGUUGUGGGCAUCUUCCCCAGUUAUGAGAGAGUUCACCAUGAAACCUGUUGUAGCUCAAAUCGAUGAAUUCCAGGUUUGGACAGUCACCAACUACCUCAGAUACAUUUCCAGUGAGUCGGUUUCCCUGGAACAGAGCUCUGGUUAAGUUUCUGCAAUUUUUCAAGCUUUUGGGGAUGGGACCACUGAGAUGGUUGUCACUCACUGUAAAGCGCUCCAGAGAUCCACCUUGGCAAAUGCCUUCCGGUAAAGAGCCAAACAGCUGGUUUGUGUCGAUUUCUAGCACAACCAACUUAUGAAGUUUCCCAAUUUCUUGAGGAAAGUAACCAGAAAGACGGUUAUCACGGAGGAAUAAAAUUUCUAAGUUGGUUAGAUUACCCAGUGAAGUAGGAAUGGAACCAUUGAGUUGAUUUUCUGAAAGUUCUAGAUCAACAAGAGACUUCAAGUUACCUAUUUCUUGAGGAAUGGGACCGGAAAGUUGAUUGGCAUAGAGAUGCAGGAGGGUUAGGCCACUCAGAUCACAUAAUGACACAGGGAUUGGGCCUGAAAGAUUGUUUCCGUAGAGGCUUAGACCUUGCAGGGAUUUCAAAUUUCCUAUUUCUGGUGGGAUAGGCCCAGAGAGGCUAUUGUUGAACAAGUACAACACGGUUAAAUGUUUCAAAUUUCCAAAAGUGGAAGGGAUGGGACCUGUGAGAUUGUUGGUAUCCGAGUAUAGCUGAACAAGGUUGGUGAGAUUUCCCAUUUCUGGAGGAAUGGAACCCGAAAGUUGAUUUUCAUAGAGAUACAAAGAGGCCAAGUUGCUCAAAUUACCCAAAGAAGCAGGAAUAGAACCCUCCAGUUGGUUGGUGUACAAAGCAAGCUCAUAAAGAGACGUCAACUGACCUAUUUCAUGAGGAAUUGAACCAUUCAACUGAUUUUGAACCAGGUGUAAGACCUCAAGAUUAGUUAAUAGGCCGAUCUCGGGCGGAAUCCCUCCUGAGAACUGGUUGAUAGAGAGAUCAAGGUAUUUGAGCUUGGAGAGGAGACCGAUUUGGGGUGGGAUAGGACCAGAGAGGUUGUUCAUGCUGAUAUCAACAUACGCAAGAUUGGGAAAAGAUGAGAAUGAGAAGGCUUGGAGCGUACCUCCUAAACCCGACUCUGUGAGGUUUAUUCUGAUGACGCUCCCUGCAUGGUUGCAGGAUAUUCCGUACCAUUUGCAUGGACUGACUUCUGUUCCAAGGUGGGUAGAAGAAUUGGUGAAGUUGUUAGGAUAAAGAGUCCACGAAAGGAGGGAAGAAUGGUUAUGGUUGUGAAGGGUAGCUUUCCAUUUGAGGAGAGCUUGUGUUUCUUCAUUAGAAUAAGAAGAAACAUGGUCUGAAGAAAUCAACAUAACCAAGAGGAGCAAGGAAACAAGGGAGAGCAUUUUCUGUAAGGUUGAGGGUGCCAUGGUUUUGGUUGAUGAAUUGCAUAUGCUGCUUCACAACUUCAUUUAUACACAUUUGGUUCCUUUGUUCGUCCCACUCGGAAACUUCCUUGUUCACACUUCACACCAAUUAAAAUUCAGCCCUUUAAUGUCAAGAUUGAGGUCUUUUAAAGCAUGGCUCCCUUUUUCUUUCUUUUUGCCUGGGGUUCCCUUUCUACUAGCAUGGUGGUCUUCCUAUAUCUUUGUGGUCGUCGAAGUCUUCUCCGGUCUCUUUCAAAAUGAAUAAUGACGAUGAAGGUUGGUUGGAGACUAACGCUCUCUUUGACAAUUAUUUUGGACAACAGAGCAGGUUUAGUAAUAAAAAAAUUAUUUUUUAUUUUUUAUUCUUAAACACAGAAAAUGAUAUGUUUUUUAGGGACUUUUUUUUUAAUUAUCAUCAAUUAUUUUGAUUUGUUUUUUAAAAAUUAUUUUAAAAAAUAACUAUAAAAAAUGGAGAAUAAUUAAAAAAAAUGGACAAAAAUUUUAUUUUUAAAAAUAUUUAAAAACAUUAAAUAUGUGAUAAAAAUAUUUAAGAUUUCUAAAUACAUUUUUAUUUUACCAUUCAUCAAAGAACUGCCGUUAAAAACUGUUAUAAAAAAAUAGUUGUUAAAGAUAACUUAAUUUUAUUUGAAUCUUUGUUUUUAUCUUUACGAUGAUCUUCUUCUUUUACUCUUUGUAAAAGAAAACCGAACUUGAAAAUUUGUUUCAGUUAAGUAAUUAUAAAAGAAAAUUUUAGUCUACUUAAUAACUAAGUUGAUUUAUUAAAACUUAAUAAUUAAUAUUUACCCUAGGCUUGGUUUUUAGAAAAUUUUAAAUGAAUUGAAUAUGAAAAAAAAAUGAAGUUUUAAAAAGAAAAAAACAAAAUUUAAGUUAAUAAAUUAUUUUUAUAUGUUUUUAAAUUUUAUUUGAAUGAUUUAUUUUUAUAUAAAGAAUAAAUAAUUUAAAAAUGCUUAAAUUUUUAAAUGAUUUUAAUUAUAUUUAAUUUAUUUAUUUUUAUGUAUUUUACAUUUUAAUAUUUAUUAUAAUAUGAAAUAUCAUAUGUUUAUUAUUAUUUGAAAUUGCUUUACAAUUUAUAAUUUAAUAGGAAAUUUUAAUUUAUUUAUUGAUAGUAUUCAUAAUUAAACUAUUUAAAACUUAUAAAUAAAAAAUAGUAUAUUAUAUAAUUAAAACAAUUUGUAUAGAUUAAAAUACUGUAGUAAUGAUAUAUAUUAGUAUUUUACUGUGUAUUUUAUACUUAUUUUUCAGUUAAUUUAAUUUUAAUUUUAAUUUUUAAUUUUUAAUUUUAAUUAAAACAAUUUAACUUUAAUUUUUUAAUUAUUAUUUUUUUAACUUUUAAGUAAUAUAAAAAAAAUUAAAGAAAAAUAAAAGGAAAUGGAUAAGAAAAGUAAAUCCGUGAUUCGGCCCAUUCCAGUCCACAGUUACCGCCGACGACACCGACGUCAGUCAACCGGCAACCGCGACGCCGCCUCAGCAGCGCAGUCACUGCCGCCAUCUCCGGAAACUCCACAGCACCACUCCUUUCCACCCAGAUGCCACGCGCCGUCGCUCACGGCAUCUCCGCCCGUGGCCUUGCCAUUCAAGGCGCCGCUCCGUCGCCGACUCCUUCCACACCCACCCCAUUCACUAACGCCAAGACCACCAUGGUCUCGGCCACUGCCUCUGGUAGCCAACAUGGCUGCCAUCUUCAUCCUCCAUCUCACCUCUCCGCCGUACCCCACUACCAAUCUCCUUCGGCCUCCAUGAUCCCCAUCUCCGCCGCUGAACCCAUCACCCUACCGGCGCCAACAUCUUUUCUUCUUUAUUUAUUUAUUUAUUUAUUCCAGUGCUGCUCAUAUAUUUUGAUAUGUAAAUAUUUAAUUUGUUAAUUAGAAAAUACAUGAGUAGCAGUCUUGGUAGAUGAAUGGAUGAAUUUUCUGCAUGAGUAGCAGAGAUUUAUCUACUUCUAUUCACACAAAACCACACUUUAUUUCUUUGGGCACAAAGCCACAAUUUCUAUGAGUACAAAUCACACCGGGUACUUGAUGUAGAAAGAAAGACUAAACAAACUCAAAAGGCAUUACAUAGUGCUGAAGAUGCAGGAGGUUCGAAACCAUGUGUUACGGUAGACUAGGUAGAGUUCCCCACAAACUAAAUCUUACCUUACUACUUUCUCUGUGAUAACAUCUGAGAAACAGUCUGCAUGGUUGGCCUGGAUUGCGGGUUGGCUUUUAAGCAUUCAAUUGCUUGCUUUAGGAUAGCUAUCACUUCCCCCUCAUCCUGGGGUGUGAGAGGUGGGAGUCGGGGGUCCAACAUGUCUUCCAACGCUAUGUUAUCCUUCUCUGGGGAAACUGAUAGAGACAAGAUCUGAUCUCCAGGAUGUCUUCCUUUGAUAACUUCCAGUGCUAUUACUCCAAAGCUAAAGACAUCAGUUUUUUCGGUCACCUUCAUUGUAUAAGCAAGCUCUGCAAAAUUAAAAGAUAAAUAUUAUAUCGUGGACAUGUUUCAUACCUUGUUUAAUUCAAGAGUGAACCGUACCUGGUGCAAGAUAUCCGAAUGUGCCUGCAAGUAUGCUCUGAUUCGAUGAGUCUAGCUUUAGAAGCUUGGCAGUGCCGAAGUCAGAAAUAUGAGCUUCAUACUGAGAAUCCAGCAGAAUAUUGUUGCUUGAUACAUCCCGAUGAACAAUAGGGGGUGAGCAAUCAUGGUGCAUGUAAGCCAAAGCAUGAGCCACUCCUUUAAUGAUAUUGACCCUUGUAGCCCAACCCAAUUUCUUAGCUUCUUCUCUGCUCAAGAUUGUAGCCAGGCUACCUCUUUCAAGGUACUCGUAGACCAAAAACUUGUGUCGUGGAUGUGAACAGAAACCAAGAAGUUUCACUAUGUUUCGAUGCUUGAUUUCUGUUAGUGCCCUUAUUUCAUUUAAGAAAUCCUUUUGAUUUGCCAUCUCUGUGUCGGAUGGGUGAAGCUUCUUCACAGCUACUAUAUUACUUGAUGGCAGCUCUGCUUUGUAAACACUUCCAUGGCCUCCCUUUCCUAUGCAAUACAUGGGAUCAAAAUCCUUGGUGGCCUUUAUAAUCUCUUCAUACAUUGUUCUUCCAUCAAAAUUUGAUAUUGAAAAGAGAUCAUUCUGUACGUCACCUUCUUCGAUUUCUGGAGUUCUCUCUCUUCUUUCAGCAAUCAAGAAAAUCCCAAUGAAAGCAAAAAGAAGUACAAGUGCUCCCAAAAGAGGGAAUAUGAUAAUAAACACAACUUUGUGGCUCUUUUUGACAGGUUGUUGGUCUACUCCAAAACCAUAUUUGCAAGGUUGCAACCCUUUAACAUUGCCGCACAAAUCUUUGUUCCCCUUUAGCACCUCAAUGGUAGCAUUUCGAAAUGCAUUGCUGUGAGGAAUGGGACCCUGCAACUGAUUGUAGGAUAUGUCAACAUACGACAAGGCAGGCAUGUCCUCAAAAGCCUUUGGGAUGAAACCACAAAGGUUGUUAUGGGAGAGAUCAAGCAUCUCCAAGCUUUGCAAACCUUGGAUCUGUGGCGGGAUGCCACCUGCAAGCAAGUUGUGACUCAGAUCUAGCUGGGAGAGGUGACUCAGCUUACCCAUCUGAACCGGAAUUCCGUGGCUGAGUUUGUUAUUGCUCAGGUUCAAGUAAUGCAAGUCCAAGCAGUCGCCCAAGUGCUCUGGUAUUGACCCAUUCAAUCUAUUGGCUGAAAGGUCUAGAUACUCAAGGUGGGACAGCGAUCCAAGUUCAGGAGGAAUACUCCCGGAAAGUUGGUUGUCAUUCAAUAUGAGCCCCAACAGAGAAGUUAAACUUCCCAUUUUCUUUGGAAUUUCCCCAACCAAAUGAUUUGAAGAAAGAUCAAGCAAGGUUAGAUUAGUUGAGAUUCCAAAAUCUUCUGGUAUGCUCCCUGUAAUAUUGUUCCCGGCAAUCUCCAGCCUUUGUAGUUGUGGGCAUCUUCCCCAGUUAUGAGAGAGUUCACCAUGAAACCUGUUGUAGCUCAAAUCGAUGAAUUCCAGGUUUGGACAGUCACCAACUACCUCAGAUAUAUUUCCAGUGAGUCGGUUUCCCUGGAACAGAGCUCUGGUUAAGUUUCUGCAAUUUUUCAAGCUUUUGGGGAUGGGACCACUGAGAUGGUUGUCACUCACUGCAAAGCGCACCAGAGAUCCAGCUUGGCAAAUGCCUUCCGGUAAAGAGCCAAACAGCUGGUUUGUGUCGAUUUCUAGCACAACCAACUUAUGAAGUUUCCCAAUUUCUUGAGGAAUGUAACCAGAAAGUUGAUUAUCACGGAGGAAUAAAAUUUCUAAAUUGGUUAGAUUACCCAGUGAAGUAGGAAUGGAACCAUUGAGUUGAUUUUCAGAAAGUUCUAGAUCAACAAGAGACUUCAAGUUUCCUAUUUCUUGAGGAAUGGGACCGGAAAGUUGAUUGGCAUAGAGAUGCAGGAGGGUUAGGCCACUCAGAUCACAUAAUGACACAGGGAUUGGACCAGAAAGAUUGUUUUCGUAGAGGCUUAGCUCUUGCAGGGAUUUCAAAUUUCCUAUUUCUGGUGGGAUAG
rnacentral:lncRNA from 1 species